rnacentral:rRNA from 1 species
UACGAAGGGGGCUAGCGUUGCUCGGAAUCACUGGGCGUAAAGGGUGCGUAGGCGGGUUUUAAGUCAGAGGUGAAAUCCUGGAGCUCAACUCCAGAACUGCCUUUGAUACUGAGAAUCUUGAGUAUGGGAGAGGUGAGUGGAACUGCGAGUGUAGAGGUGAAAUUCGUAGAUAUUCGCAAGAACACCAGUGGCGAAGGCGGACUCACUGGCCC